AGGGAUAUAGCUCAGAGGCACAGUGCCUGCCUGGCAAGCAGGAGGCCCUGAGUUUGAUUCCUAGUACCACAA
rnacentral:tRNA from 1 species